AAUAAGGGAAAUUGAGACUAAGAAUUAAGGAGGAGAAGUGUUUGAUUUAAGAUGAGCCUGAGAAAAGAGAGGAAAAGAUGUUUGAGUACUUGUUUAUAUUAUUUAUUUCUUUUCUGAUACCUGAAACAGUAAUCAAAAAUUUCGGUUUAUUAGUAAUUAAUUUAAUUAAAUAAAGGUUGCCCAGUUUUUGCCUUUGAUGCUGACAAAUACAAUAGCCAAACCUUCAUUUCAUGGACACCCUUUAGCAUACUCUGUUUUGAUAAAGUGGAGAUGCAUUAAAACCUUUGGAAACUGCAGGUGAACUCAGAUGAAGACUCUUUAUUCUGUCUGAGUACUCUCAACAGGGCUCUGCUGUGUCUUAGGGGAAAGCCAGCUGUGCUUUCCCCUAACACAUACAAAACUAAAAGAAGCUUCGACUACAUUGAUAAUAGGCUGACUUAAAAAUAAUUAAUGCAACAGGCUGAUAUGCUGGUUUGAAUUUCCUCCCGUACUUCUGUAAUUACUCAGCUGCCAAACUACAUCUGGUUUAUAUCUGUUCUGAAGACAUGGAAAAGACACACAAAAGGCUGCACCCAUCUCUAGCUAUUUCCUAUUUCUUUGUAUGUUUAAAAAAUGCAAAUUCUGAAAUUGUAUAAACAAUAACAAAAGCAAAGAAACAGUGUGCGUCUUUUUUCUAAUAAUGUUUCAAAAAUUUAUUUUAGGAGAUUCAUAAUAAGCUUAAGAACUCAAAAAGGGCAUGGUUCAUCAGAGGACCCUCUACUAUGUGGCCAAGAAAAGAUGCAUGUGAAGACAUCCAGAUAUAUUAAAAAGAAUACUCUGUCAGAUCCUCACUAACAAGGGACUAGAUAGCAUGUCCAUGUCAGGGACUCUGACUCAUUAAUUCUCUGCUUAGCAUCCUAAACAUAUGAAAAUAAGUGGGAACCGGAGCGGCAACACCUCCUAGGGAUAGGUCAACCUUUUUUUUUCCCUAUUGAAACAAAGUCAUUUAGCAACCCAGGAACACCCUUGUUCCCCUUUGGCUGGUUCUCUUGCUUUUUUGGCUUUUUUCUCCCCAGGUGCGAGGGUGGAUAAGAACUUGCUGAGCUGGUUUUGAAAAUGUAAAAUGUGAAGAAAGGGAAAUUAGACCCUGUCUGUGGUUUAAAUUGAAAUGGAGAUCAAUGUCCAGCACUUUCAAGCAUAAUGGGUGUGCACAUGUUUUGGGAGCAGUUCUGUAAGUUUAAUGGAAUAAAUGUCCAGGAAAACAGGGGGUGACACAGGUGUGAGGGACAGAUGGCAGAGCUCUUCCCACAGCUCCUGAAGAGGCCAGAGAGUGCCCAGGCUUGUUCCACUGCAGUGAAUCCCCCUGCCCGGCCUACACUCACUUUCUGUACUGCGAGAUGAAUGAAGCAAACCAGAUAACUUGGCCUUGAGAUGCUGCAGUUGUCAGCAAAUUGUUCAGAAUAAAAAUAUUCAAAAGACACAAA